rnacentral:rRNA from 1 species
GACGAACGCUGGCGGCGUGCUUAACACAUGCAAGUCGAACGAUGAAGCUAGAGCUUGCUCUGGUGAAUUAGUGGCGAACGGGUGAGUAACACGUGAGUAACCUGCCCCGAACUCUGGGAUAACUGCUGGAAACGGUAGCUAAUACUGGAUACGACCUACGAAGGCAUCUUCUGGAGGUGGAAAGAAUUUCGGUUCGGGAUGGACUCGCGGCCUAUCAGCUUGUUGGUGAGGUAAUGGCUGACCAAGGCGACGACGGGUAGCCGGCCUGAGAGGGUGACCGGCCACACUGGGACUGAGACACGGCCCAGACUCCUACGGGAUGCAGCAGUGGGGAAUAUUGCACAAUGGGCGCAAGCCUGAUGCAGCAACGCCGCGUGAGGGAUGACGGCCUUCGGGUUGUAAACCUCUUUUAGUAGGGAAGAAGCGAAAGUGACGGUACCUGCAGAAAAAGCACCGGCUAACUACGUGCCAGCCGCCGCCGUAA